rnacentral:sRNA from 1 species
CUUCUCACCAAAUCACCGGAUCUGUGCCCAGCGGUCCUCUGCUUUUUGUCAGGGUCGAUUGCUGCGCAGCUCGAUAACUCCAUGGAGCCAUCUACUUGUUAUGGUGUCAAUUAUCCUAUCGACAGGUCCCAGAACGACCCGGCCUUGAGCUGCCUCAUUCGCCGUCUCACGAUGGCUUGAGUGAUGCGGCUGAUUGCUGGAGGCCCUAUAUUCCAACCCUCUUUUCCGAGGCCGUCGGCCCGUGAGGUUGGGGAAAACCAUGGGUUGCCUACAUUG